rnacentral:lncRNA from 1 species
AAUGUGUGAGGUGGUGCUAUGUAGCAGGAACCCCUCUUGCUUUGCAAAUAGUUUUUUGUUUGUUUUCCUUUUUGCCCAAUAGAGCCCUGCUCUACUGACCCUUCAAUGUGCCCGUGUGCCUAAAUAUUCCUGGUCGUGUGAAAAGAACCCAGGUAUUAGCUGAACUAAGGAGCACAAUUCUGCAACAUUUUGGCACCCAAACACGGGGCUUGAGAAAUGAAUGCAAUUGGAGAAACUGGUUGUUUUACCAGGCGUUGAUUGGAAAUGUGUGCUUCCCUUUAAGCAGUCAAGCUCAACUUGCAGAACUGAUGGGAACCCCUUGGGAAAACUGGCCUCAAAUGUUUGUCUACACAGUCCACAUACAGGGUUCUUAACCUGCGACUGACCCUGCUUGUGCCUGUGAACCAACCAACAAUCUCUGGCUGCAGCUCAGAAAGGACAAAAGAGAAUGGGUAAUGUAAAAACCUGGAUCAGUAUUUUAGUUCUGAACAAUUAUCCUGCAAAUCCUGCCAGCUGAUGGGAAUAAAUAGGAUGCCCAUGAUCCGGAGGUUUACUUUUUGGGAAAGUAAAACCAAGGGAGCUAACCAAAGUAAAACCCCAUACACCCAAAUCUGAGCAAGCAUAACUAUAGCCACCAGUUAUCUGGGUGUGUCACAAGACACUCUUUUCUUUCCUUUGUUGGAGGAGAACUCAUUUCCACAGCUUCACUUUAGCAUUAUGGCUUAUGUUAAGGAGUCUAUGCAACUUCCAUGCUGAGACACGUUUUUGGUCCCAAAGUUAAUUCCAAGCUUUGUGUCAAAGGCCUAAGAAAACUGGAUCUUAGGGAUCCAGAAGCCAGACAAUAAUGAAAGUCAAAAGGCACAGCACAGGUGAGCAUGACUAAUUCCCGCUGAUUAAGCCAAGCUUCCUGUUUCAUGGAUAAAGGUCAUGCUAGUAUCCAUGGCAUAAAUGAGGUCUAGAGAACUAAAAGGCUACUGCCAGCAGGGGAGAUAGGGAGGACAUAAGACAGGGCAGCUAUUCCCAUCCCCUAGACCCCCUGUUAACAUGGAUGAAAGCCACUUUGACACCCAUGGGUGGCACCCUGUCACAGUUGGUGGGACUCAGCAAUACAGGGACAGAGGAAAGAAAGAGGAACAACUCACUUUCUCUCCCUCACACACCCUGAGUAUUUGCUAGAAAAAGAAAGGAACCAGGCACACAUGCUCCCCUAUUUCUAGAUGAGUAGCCAUUCAUCUUUAGUCUGCACCCUUUUAGAACAUGUCCUGAACCCCUGGGACUCUUCUGAAAAAAAUGCCUUCUUUUUUCCUUUUUCUUCCUCUGUCCUCUAUUCACUGGUAGGUAGGUAAUGGUGUCCCAUACCACAGAACACUUCCCUCAGAUGCAUCCUUCUAACUGGGAGGAGUUAAUUUCUCAAACCGUAGACUAAUUGGCUUAGGAUUAGGUUCAGGGGAAGGGAACACAGAAACAUGACAUGCCAGCAAAAGGGUAAAAGGUUUUUUUUCCCCGUUGGGCUUUUGGCCUCUCUCUCCCUGUGCAAACUGGUAAAAGGCGUCUGGAUUUUCUAGUUGUCCUUACCCACUGCUUGUUUCGUUUUGAUACAUAUUUUCUAAUAACCUGUUUGUCUCUUCUCACUUUUAGGCCAUCAAACUCCAGUCUGCACCUGGAGCCUUGGAUGAUGGCCUUUUUUACUGGGAACCCUGAAAUAGGCCUCUGAGGGAAAUCUGAUUGCCAUUUUCCCAAAACAGCUUCCCUGACAAUAGGAAGCAAUUAAGAUUGGUCUUCAUCCUUAUCUUUAUCCUUAUUCUAAUGGCAGUUAGAGGUACUUCUUUAGAGGGGGGAAUGAGACAGCCAAAUGCCUAGGCAGAUAAAAAGGUGUACCUGGAAAAUUUCCAACCCGUCACACAAGUGUUUACAUCAGAUGCUUUUGUGUAGAUGAGGGAAACUUCCCAGGGCUUGUCUGGGUAUGCCCACAGUGGACUGGAGCCCAAAAUGCACACUGGAGGAAGUGGAUGGAGCCACGUGGAUGUCAUGCCUUAUGCAGGGGAGGAGCCUGCUCUCUUCAGCUCCUGUGGUAAUGUGGGAAUCGAUCUGUGAGGAAACACUUUCUGAAAAUGUCAGAACUCUUGAAAACAUGGAUGAGGAAAAGCAUAAGUACUGCUUUAUGCUUUUCUUAUGAAUUUUAAAAGAUGUAAUUUAAAGGUACUUUAAAGUGAUAUUUGUGCCCUUGUAACUGAUUCAAAGUAGACUGCUAAGGACAAUAAGUAAUAAGAGUCUACAAAUAUCAGUAAAUUAUGAGAAAAAACGGUCUAAUGGUACUUAAAAUUGCAUUGUGAUUUAUUAAAUAACAUUGAACAGCUCCACCUGUAACAUUAAGAUUCCAUUUGAGCAUAUAGAAAAUAUAUUUAUCGCAACCUGAAGUGAUUUGGAAAGUAUGCUGGGAAGAAAAUAUAUUUACAAAUUAGUCUCAGAGGGUAGGUAUCCUGUAGCCAGAUGGAAUAAGAAGAGAGGGAAGGGAGAUUUUGUUCAAAGGGGGAGCAUAAGCUAAGGAAUAAAGCCACAAACAAUGAUUAAAUUAGGUAAAGUGCAAUUAGCUGAAUAUUGCAUAAGCAUACAUAUGG